GACGAACGCUGGCGGCGUGCUUAACACAUGCAAGUCGAACGGAAAGGCCCUGCUUUUGUGGGGUGCUCGAUUGGCGAACGGGUGAGUAACACGUGAGUAACCUGUCCUUGUCUUUGGGAUAACUUCAGGAAACUGGGGCUAAUAUCGGAGAGGAGCUCCUGAAGCACGGUGGGGGUUGGAAAGAUUCGGCGGUUGGGGCUGGACUGGCGGCUUAUGAGCUUGAUGGUGGGGUAGGUGUUUACCAAGGCUUUGAAGGGUAGGCGGCCUGAGGGGGGGAACGGGGACAUUGGUACUGAGGGACGGCGCAGACUCCUAUGGUAGGCAGCGGUGGGGAAUAUUGCAGAGUGGGCGGACGCGUGAUGCGGCAGCGCCGGGUGCGGGAUGACGGGCUUCGGGUUGUAAACCGCUUUCGCCUGUGACGAAGCGUGAGUGACGGUAAUGGGUAAAGAAGCACCGGCUAACUACGUG
rnacentral:rRNA from 1 species